CCUUUUUUGUUUUAUAAAAAAAGAAAAUAAUCUCCGGCGGAGUUUUCCGUUUCCGGCUCCAUAUUCGAAUCCUCUAAGGCUUGUGCAAGUGAGUUGACUCGGACGAACUGAGAGCGUCAGAGAUUCUACCGCAAAUGCAAGACUGAAACUUUUUCAAAGUUUAGACAGUAGCUGUUUACCAUUGGACAAGUCCACAAAUACAAUGGUGGAUUCGGAGCAAAGGUUGAGUGGAUAAUCUAUUCCGGAUUCUUGUUUAUAUGCCAUCAAUCUUGAAUAUAUAUGCUGAUUGCUGAGGUUAAAAUUCAAGGGCUUUUUUUGUGUGUGUGUGUGGAAAGGCUAUGCAUUAUUCUGCUUGCCAAUACUAAACAUUUAAAUACAAAUAGUGUAUUAAGACAACCUUAAUGGAAGAAGAGUGUUCGCUUGGAUUUAAUGAUUAUUAAAUUGUCUUGAUAUUUCUUUUAUCAGUUCCCCUCAUUGCUGUGUCUAUGGAUCAUUAUACUACGAAGCUAUGGCACCAGACAGUCAAAGAGAUUCCUUCCCGAACCACUCGUGUAGUCUUCUUCCUGCCUCCCAGUUAGACCCUAUCUCGCUUUCCAAGUCUCAUUUGAAUGAGGCGCCGCCGCUACUAAAUGCAACUCUCAUUUCAACAUUCUUUCUUCUCUAUUGGAAUUCCUUCUCUAUCUGCCUAGAGAACCUCUCUUUCUACACCAUGUGAACUUGACUCCUGAACACAGCCAUUCCUCACCACUCUUCAACAUGGCAGCAAGGUCUCUGUCACUGGCAGCACUCACACGACCACUUUGAAAGCUUUCAUACAUCAUUCUAGGGUCAUGGAGUUGAUUAUUCUCUUGAGAAAGAAUUACACAAAUAUUUUUAAUGAUCACAAAAAUAUAGUUCUCUCUCAACAUUUUCAGAACGCGAUAACUCCCUCAUUGUAAGUAUGAUAUCAUCACUUCCUUAAUUCAUUUAGUAAGGGAUUCUUCUGCAGGUGAUUAGGUUCCUUACUAAAUUGCCUUGCUUAUUAAUUCUUCACUUGCUAUCAAUGUAUAUUUUCCUUGAACAACUUCAAUACUGGAUUCCUUCAGUUAGUAUUGCAACUUUCUCUUGCACUAGCUAGCCUCCCAACCUAGGCUUGAUUAUUUGUUCAGCACCUUAUUCAUCUGUUUGCUAAUGAUAAAUCUAUCUGAGAAAUCCAAAAAGGUGAGGACAAUUGGGUAAAACCUAUCAGAAUGAUUCUUCAGCUGAUUGAAGUCACUUUGGAUUGGAUGGAUCAAACUAUGGUUUGGACAAAUGAGAAGCAAAUGCAACUCUUAUCUUGAUUUCUUAGAAGCAUUAUUUCUUAAGCAGUGGCAUAGUUCUACGAAUUUGCAUGGUUCUCACUGAGAAGAGAAAACGUGGGAGCCUUGUGCAACCCCACAACUUCCAGCAAAAGGUCAUAGAUUUUCCCAUCAGAUUUUCGUUCUACAAGAUGACUGCAGACCGAAAGAUAAACUAUCAGAGUAAUGACCCUUUGUUCGGCAGCACCCGCUGAUUCUUGUGAUAUCAUGGGAUGUUCACGGUUACAUCACUUACACCUGCAGGCAAAAGCAGCUCAACUACAUUUCCUCUUCCGAGAGAAAUUGUGGUGCCCAAUGAUGGAAUCUACAUCUACUCAAGAAGUAAUACAACUCACAAAUCAGCAAGUAGUUCAGGGCAGCAUCCCAUAUAUCAGUUCUGCAAUCACAGCUUGGGUAGCUGUACUGCUGAGGUGUUAGAUCAGAACUUGGUGGAUGAAGACCAAGGAAAAAAGACCAGCAAUAUCCGGUGCAAAAAGCUUGAAGAUGAUGGCAGUUCUCGAUGCUUCGAGCCACGGUCAAGUAAAACUUUAACUUUUUGCCUGCCACUUCAUUUUAUGUAAAAAAAUUGUGAAAAGUGGGUACAAUAGACAACUCAAUCUUCAAUAAAACAUAUGCAAAAGGAGAGAAGAAGAAACUGGUGUGGAAGGGAUGCUGCCCUGAGAGCUCUGUCUACUCAUACAUGUUGCCCGGUAUAGCCGUUCACAAUCGCAAUUGCCUAAAAUAAACUCUUCGAGCCAGUUCUUUCGUUUGGCUUCAAAAGCACUCUUUAGAAGUAUUUUGCCAGUUUUGAAUGGCAAAAACUCUUGUUUAGCAUUGUUUUUGCUGCAAAAACAAUUACUUUUGAACAGUCAAAAGCAAUGCUAAAUACGGACACUCCCUCAUACUUUGAUCCCUACUAACCCUUCAGAUAUUCCACUAAACAGGGCCAAAGUAAAAGGCUGUUUAGGUUUUUCUUUUAUACAACUCUUAUUACUAUCAAUAACUUUUCUAAACUCUUAACUUGGAAGAAAAAUGCAGUUCAGUGCGCGCAAGUGAUGGCCGUAACUAAGUUAUUGAGCGUUAAGGCUCAAUCGAUUGUUCAGCUUAGCUUAGCAAUUUUAACCCUUCUCACAUAAGUCCUUUUCUUCCUCUACCUUAACUUCUUUUUUCAUCCAAAAACAAUUCUUGCAGUUCCAAACUCUUAUAGUAUUCUUUGUUUCAACUUGUGGAACAACAUCUAUCCCAGUUGUUUUCCUUUUCUAUUGGUUUCCUUGCCUCAAGCAUUGCCAUCUACUUUCAUCUUCCACCCCUAAAAAUAUGCUGUUGAUAUCGCCAGCAUCGAUGGAGGUGAAUGCCGGAAGUUUAGACCCUGGUCCAAGAGUGGAUCAAGAGCAAUGUUGUUGGAAUUGGUCACUUGGGCUAGGGAUCGACUGGUUUGCUGGUUGAUAUUAGAUUGGGUUUUGAGCAGUCAGGCUGGGAAUUGAUCGGCGUGUCGGGCUGAGAGUCGACUGGUGUGCCGGUUGAUAUUAGAUUGGGUUUUGAGCAAACCGCUAGAAAUCGCCAUUGAAUCAUCAAAAAACCAAUUGAACAACUUUUUUAAAUAUUUUUCCAACUUAUUAGUCCAAAAAUCCAGCAUAAAACCAAAAAUUGGGUUGGAUUUUACCGCUUUUGUGUUAAUCAAUUUUAUAGAAUUUUCCCCUAUUUUUAUGAGUUCUUUUAAAAAAAUUUAGAUCAAACAGUUUAGUUAAUUACCGAUCUUUUUCUUAUUCUUAAAAUGUUUAGGGAAGUAAUCGCCUUCGAUAAAAUUUGAACAUCGAGAUAAUAACUCUCGUUGGGUCAAGUUUUGUGAAUGAAAGAAAAUAAUAUUAGUAGAUUUAAGGGUUUGAACUAAUCCGAUUUUAAGUAUAGAUAAAAACUUCCCAUAAAGAUGGAAGGAAGGAUUGAAGUUAGAAAGGUUGAUAUCAUGAAAAUGUAAUUAAAGAAAGAGUCAUUGCAUGUCACAGGUUUCGAAAAGAGCUAAUGAACCAUUCAUCAUAUGGGAAUAUUUGGCAAGAUUCGAAUCUUGGUAGACCUUGAUUGUUGGGAAAGUUUUCAAAGGGUUAAAGUAAAAGUAUUUGGAGUAUUUGUGGUGAGAGUUGAAUUGUAAUAUCUUCAUUUACUAAAAUAAUCUGACAAAUUGGUAUUUAUACAUUAGAUCAAAUAGGAAGUUAGUAUUUUGUUAAAAAAUCUUUCGUUUUUAUUAUUGAAAAUUAGUUCUUGUAUAUUAAUAUGUUGCAUGUAAUUGUCUUAUCGAUCUA